rnacentral:rRNA from 1 species
AUUGAACGCUGGCGGCAUGCCUUACACAUGCAAGUCGAACGGUAACAGGUCUUCGGAUGCUGACGAGUGGCGAACGGGUGAGUAAUACAUCGGAACGUGCCCGAUCGUGGGGGAUAACGCAGCGAAAGCUGUGCUAAUACCGCAUACGAUCUACGGAUGAAAGCGGGGGAUCGCAAGACCUCGCGCGGACGGAGCGGCCGAUGGCAGAUUAGGUAGUUGGUGGGAUAAAAGCUUACCAAGCCGACGAUCUGUAGCUGGUCUGAGAGGACGACCAGCCACACUGGGACUGAGACACGGCCCAGACUCCUACGGGAGGCAGCAGUGGGGAAUUUUGGACAAUGGGCGAAAGCCUGAUCCAGCAAUGCCGCGUGCAGGAUGAAGGCCUUCGGGUUGUAAACUGCUUUUGUACGGAACGAAAAGACUCUGGUUAAUACCUGGGGUUCAUGACGGUACCGUAAGAAUAAGCACCGGCUAACUACGUGCCAGCAGCCGCGGUAAUACGUAGGGUGCAAGCGUUAAUCGGAAUUACUGGGCGUAAAGCGUGCGCAGGCGGUGAUGUAAGACAGAUGUGAAAUCCCCGGGCUCAACCUGGGAACUGCAUUAGUGACUGCAUCGCUGGAGUGCGGCAGAGGGGGAUGGAAUUCCGCGUGUAGCAGUGAAAUGCGUAGAUAUAGGAAGGA